UCAAAAGUAAUUCUGUGAAAUAAAAUCAUUUUAUUGUGUUUGUAGAUGGAGGAUUGGAAAAAAACUUUAUGAGAAAAUACAUCUCAGAAUGCCUGCCGUUAAAAACUACCAAGGAAGGAGGCGGAUGCAUGAUACAGGAGCUGAAAAAAAGAGCAACAUGUCCAGACCUGCAAAAUAUUUACAAGCAUAGACUGAAGAAGUGUGAAGCAUACUGAAGUGAUGUGUGUGUGUGUGUUCCACAGCUGUAAAUUAUGGAAAGAAAAGCAGUGCACUGCAGUGACUUGCACAGGCCAAGAUGUCUCAAGUUGUACAUUCAAACAGAAGUGAUGGGUGACAAGCUUUUACUAGCAACUUGUGAAGAAAAAUCAGGUAGCUAGAGCAGAGACCAGAUGCUGUGAUGGUGGUGAUGCAAACAGGGAGAGACGUUUUACAAUUGAAAUGAUAGACUCUGAUAUUUACAUGUAUUGUUUUGUAUGAUGAACUUUGUCCGUGCAAGUGGCUAUGCCCGUAAAAGAGGCACACUUUUGCUCAUUGUGUUUGUUAUCUUUCAAUAUAAAAAGUAAUGGUAAAGGUCUCCGAGAUUACGGUUUAGUGUUGUUUGUCCGUAUUAUAAGAGUCUAGUAGCCUGUCCUGUCCGUCCGCAGUCAAUACUUUGCCAGCUUGUUUGCUAAGUACACUGUCCCUAUGAAAC
rnacentral:lncRNA from 1 species